rnacentral:lncRNA from 1 species
AUGUGAGGACACCUAGAAAGCAACAUCUACGAGGAAUGAGCUCUAACCAGACACCAAAUCUGCUGGGAGCUUUAUCUUGAACUUCCCAGCUCCACAACAUCUUGGCAGCUCUUUGGGGGAUGGAAGAAGACCAUGAAGCUCUAAGUGCUUCAGAGGAAUGGGGUUGCCAAAACAGAUGUGAGAGGCCCAGAGAGGAGGCUGGGCCAAUGCUGAAGGGUAUUAUUUUGGGGCUGAGUGCAGAAAUAAGAGAUGCGUGCUAAAAGGUCAUCGGUUUAGAACCAGCCCUAGAUCUCCUGGGAUCCUGCCCAGCUGAAUCUUCCUCCUUGUAACAUGGGCUUUGGGAAUUUGUGAGAGAUUUAAAUAAAGUAAGAGACACUUAGGAAAUGAAUUCAUAGGGCACUGGGGAAAAUGCUGAGCAUAUAGGGGCAGGAACUAUGGUUUGAGCAGAGAGGAACAGGAGAUAUGGAGAUAUUUAUAGCAAUGAGUUGCCACUCAGUUCAUAUCGGAUGACUAAAAUGAGGUGUGUCUGCCCUCUGAGUAACCUGAAUGGAAGAAAGCCUUUUCACCUUUUAUCUGCAGUGAGUAGGUGCUCCAUAGAAUGUUCAAUCAAAUCUGAACUGAAAGAAGCAUUUUAAAUUCACACUUCAAGAGAUCACAGAACAAACAGAAAUUAGCAAGAGAUUUUAAUUUCAAUUUUCUACUUGUGAUAGUCUGGUAAGAAAAAACUAUAAAAUAAAAUAACAACCUAUAUUCUAGUUAGUCUCAAGCAGAAUUUUUGGGGCUUGCUAUUGAAAGUUCUAUGUAAUCAUUCUUUAUAUUAAAAGUAUAUUUGCCUAGGCUCGGUGGCUCACGACUGUAAUCCCAGUGCUUUGAGAGGUCAAGGCAGGUGGGUGGCUUGAGCCCAGGAGUGCGAAACCAACCUGGGCAACAGGGCAAAACCACAUCUCUACCAAAAAUACAAAAAUUAGCUGGGCAUUGUGGCACAUACCUGUAGUUUCAGUUGCCUGGGAGGCUGAGGUGGGAGGCUGAGGUGAGCCCAGGAGGUCGAGGCUGCAGUGAGCAGUGACCAUGCCACUGCACUCCAGUCUGGGUGACAUAGUGAGACCCUG